CCCUACCAGGUGGGUGGGCGCGCGCACACGCGUAAGCCCUGCUCUGCUCAGUCCGCCUUCUGACUGCAGCCACCGUGAAGACAGUUAUUUUGAAAUCCCUGGAGGCCAACUGGAUCUCUGCUGGAGAAUCCGCGUUACCCCAGGACAGGGCCGGAGACCAGACACGGGCUCCCACCGCAAACUGCUUGCCAGGGGGUGUCUGCAAAGCUAAGGAGGAAAAGAAGCCUGCUACCAAAGCCUCAGUGCACAAGCUUUUUACAUUCAAGGCGUGAAGAAAUUACCGGAAGCAGUUGAUGGGCCCAGGUGUCUGUGCCUACAGCAAGGCUCCUAAUGCAGACUCAUCCGGAGCUGAAGGGAGAGGUGUCUCUGCGACCUGUGGGAGCGGGCAAGGCCCACCAUCUAACCCGCGCACCUCCUGCCUGCCUGUGCCGCACAAGGGUUCUCUGGUCCUCUGCCCUGCUCUAAAAUAGUAACCCAACACACAGAAAACACCGGCUAGCUACAACGUCCACAGAAGUACUGGGGACAGAGAAGAAGAGGAAGAGCCCCAAACCUAACCUGGGAAUUAUUCACAACUACCUGUUAUGUUUUCAUUUAUACCUGUU